UACAGAGGUCUCAAGCGUUGUUCGGAUUCAUUGGGCGUAAAGGGUGCGUAGGUGGCGGGGUAAGUCAGGUGUGAAAUCUCGGGGCUCAACCCCGAAACUGCACUUGAUACUGCCUUGCUCGAGUACUGGAGAGGAGACUGGAAUUUACGGUGUAGCGGUGAAAUGCGUAGAUAUCGUAAGGAAGACCAGUGGCGAAGGCGGGUCUCUGGACAGUUCCUGACGCUGAGGCACGAAGGUCAGGGGAGCAAACGGG
rnacentral:rRNA from 1 species